rnacentral:sRNA from 1 species
UGCUAUGAAACUGAAGCUUUAUGUAUUAUCAACAGCAUUUGAUUAGAGUUCCGCAAACUCUUUAAACUGCUCUCCGGUUCUGGUCCGCGCUUUAGACUCGCCCUGUAUUAAGGCAAAAACAAGCCAUGACACGGAGCAGCAGAUUCCCUGUGAAAGCAUUGCAUGAAAUUUAUCGAUAGCAUUAUAUAUUGUCCAAAAAACCAAAGAAACUUGUAGGCCUAAAUCUAAUGUUAAUUGAGUGAGAUUAUGUCAUCUGCAAAACUUUGGACAUCAUGAUUGUGAGGAGAAGUAGUGCUGAUUCGCUGAAAUGUACAGCUCAGAGAGUGCUGAUUGGCUGAAAUGUACAGCUCAGUGAGUGCUGAUUGGCUGAAAUGUACAGCUCAGUGAGUGCUGAUUGGCUGAAAUGUACAGCUAAGAGACUGUGAAUGACUGUAGAAUUGGCAUGUGUCAAAUCAUUGAUAUGUGUGUUUGCAUCAAAUUGAUGUGUAUUUGUCAUCUCAUGUUACGUAUGUGUUAAAUCUCACUUGUGUGUAUAUGUCAUUUAUCUGAUGUAUGUGUGUGUUAAAUCUUGUGUGUGUUUCAUGCAAUUGAUAUGUAUGUAAAAUAUUAUUGGGUGUGCAAGAAUGAGAACUUUUGUGUGUGUGAAUGUUUACAGUGUGAAUGGGAUGGAAUCUCAUGUACACAACCAAGUACAAGGACCUGAUUAAGCUAUCUUGUGUAAUACUCAUAUUAAAUCACUCAUAUGAAUCGGUGGGUCUUGUAUAGGGACACCUUAAUCUCUGGCUGUUGUCCAACUAAGUGAAAGUAGAUUCUGUGGAUAUGCAUGUGAUUGUGUUGGUGUGAAGGCGAAAUAUAGUUUUGGAGGAAUUCAUCAAAGUAUACAUCUUCUUCAAUUAUUUAUGUUUCAAAUUGAUGUGUGUUUGCGAUAGACAUGUAAAUAUACAAGAAAUUAUGUAUGAACAAAUUUGUGAGAGAUUUUUUUGUAUCAUCAUGUUAUGGCUAUAUUCUAGAAAGAGAGAGAGUUUUUGGAUGUCAUUUUGUGCAAGUUCUUUACGAGAGAUGACUGCACACAACAAGCGUUCUACAAACCUGUGCUAUGUUCUUUGAGCUGUGUGCAGCCAUUUUUAUAUUUUGAUAAUCAGUAUUUUCUAGUCAUGUACUACGACACAACAAAGGUAUUUUUCUUUUUAUUGUCAUCUUAAUAUUAUGUUAAUUUUUAUAUUUCUCAUUAAUUUUCUCCGACCCUUAUUAUUUUAUGACUUAUUUUUAUUAUGAAGCUUUAACUUAAGGCCUAAAAAAAUUAAUGGAUAGUUUCUCAGUCACCACAGACAGCAUAAGGUCAAAUGCUGGCCUACUGAUUAUUUUGAAUGCUAUUUUGAUGGAAAGGAAAAACACAAUAUGUUAACCAAUUUUGCUUAAAGUUAAAAACCAGAGUUAUACCCCUUUUCAGAUCUUGCAAUGAAGAAAACUUCCUUGCAUUGAGAGUUUGGUCAUGAGAAACUAAACAUAUUUUUUUGUUGGCCUCAUCCACAUACAUGUAGAAUGUGAACAUUAACUGAAACAAUUACUACAAAGGCUAAAAAACAAAGUUUUAAAUUCCAAAACUCAUUUCAUUACAUUUUUUAAAAAGUUUUUUGUAUUAUUUGGAUAAAGCUUCUUUCUCUUGGUUCAAUAACCAAGUGACCGACGCUGGUUCAGUAUUAUUACCCCAAUCAGUUAUUUAAUUAGGUCACUGAGUGCCAGUUUUGUACUGUAUAUUUUAUGUCGGCAAUUUUGUUUUUUAAUAUGUGCACGUAGUGCAUGGAGUUUGUUUGUUACAGAAAUAAAUCAUGUUAUUUUGUUU